CGUAAAGCCCCGACCAUGAUUUUCAAGCUCGAUUUCAGGAAAGCCUUUGACUCCAUAUGCUGGUCCUCCCUCAUACUAAUCUUACAAGCCUGCGGUUUUCCCUCUGACUUCUGUUCUUGGGUACAAAAUAUCCUUCUCACUGGGAAAACAACUAUCCUUUUAAAUGGCGUUCCAGGAUCCUGGAUUCAAUGUAGAUGUGGCCUCCGCCAAGGUGAUCCCUUCUCGCCGUACUUAUUCAUCAUCGUUGCCGACGUCCUUCAACGUCUAAUC
rnacentral:rRNA from 1 species